rnacentral:rRNA from 1 species
UACGAAGGGGGCUAGCGUUGCUCGGAAUCACUGGGCGUAAAGCGCACGUAGGCGGCUUGUUAAGUCAGGGGUGAAAUCCUGGGGCUCAACUCCAGAACUGCCUUUGAUACUGGCGAGCUUGAGUUCGGGAGAGGUGAGUGGUACUGCGAGUGUAGAGGUGAAAUUCGUAGAUAUUCGCAAGAACACCAGUGGCGAAGGCGGCUCACUGGCCCGAUACUGACGCUGAGGUGCGAAAGCGUGGGGAGCAAACAGG